UCUCUGGUAGUAUAUCGGAUAGUACACCCGCCUGUCAUGAAUCCUGUAUAGGAUUAUCUCAUAAGGACGCGGGAGAGCGGGGUUCGACUCCCCGCCAGAGAG